rnacentral:rRNA from 1 species
AAAUUGAAGAGUUUGAUCAUGGCUCAGAUUGAACGCUGGCGGCAGGCCUAACACAUGCAAGUCGAACGGUAACAGGAAGCAGCUUGCUGCUUUGCUGACGAGUGGCGGACGGGUGAGUAAUGUCUGGGAAACUGCCUGAUGGAGGGGGAUAACUACUGGAAACGGUAGCUAAUACCGCAUAAUGUCGCAAGACCAAAGAGGGGGACCUUCGGGCCUCUUGCCAUCGGAUGUGCCCAGAUGGGAUUAGCUAGUAGGUGGGGUAACGGCUCACCUAGGCGACGAUCCCUAGCUGGUCUGAGAGGAUGACCAGCCACACUGGAACUGAGACACGGUCCAGACUCCUACGGGAGGCAGCAGUGGGGAAUAUUGCACAAUGGGCGCAAGCCUGAUGCAGCCAUGCCGCGUGUAUGAAGAAGGCCUUCGGGUUGUAAAGUACUUUCAGCGGGGAGGAAGGGAGUAAAGUUAAUACCUUU